UAAACAGGUGAUGAGGAACUGACAAAUAUAGAGGAGGAAAUAAACAGGUGAUGAGGAACUGACAAAUAUAGAGGAGGAAAUAAACAGGUGAUGAGGAACUGACAAAUAUAGAGGAGGAAAUACACAGGUGAUGAGGAACUGACAAAUAUAGAGGAGGAAAUAAACAGGUGAUGAGGAACUGACAAAUAUAGGGGAGGAAAUAAACAGGUGAUGAGGAACUGACAAAUAUAGAGGAGGAAAUAAACAGGUGAUGAGGAACUGACAAAUAUAGUGGAGGAAAUAAACAGGUGAUGAGGAACUGACAAAUAUAGGGGAGGAAAUAAACAGGUGAUGAGGAACUGACAAAUAUAGUGGAGGAAAUAAACAGGUGAUGAGGAACUGACAAAUAUAGGGGAGGAAAUAAACAGGUGAUGAGGAACUGACAAAUAUAGUGGAGGAAAUAAACAGGUGAUGAGGAACUGACAAAUAUAGUGGAGGAAAUAAACAGGUGAUGAGGAACUGACAAA